rnacentral:ribozyme from 13 species
UUUUUUUUUUUUUUUUUUUUUUUUUUUUUUUUUUUG